rnacentral:rRNA from 1 species
GACGAACGCUGGCGGCGUGCUUAACACAUGCAAGUCGAACGGAAAGGCCCUGCUUUUGUGGGGUGCUCGAGUGGCGAACGGGUGAGUAACACGUGAGUAACCUGCCCUUGACUUUGGGAUAACUUCAGGAAACUGGGGCUAAUACCGGAUAGGAGCUCCUGCUGCAUGGUGGGGGUUGGAAAGUUUCGGCGUUUGGGGAUGGACUCGCGGCUUAUCAGCUUGUUGGUGGGGUAGUGGCUUACAAAGGAUUUGACGGGUAGCCGGCCUGAGAGGGUGACCGGCCACAUUGGGACUGGGGUACGGCCCAGACUCCUACGGGAGGCAGCAGUGGGGAAUAUUGCACAAUGGGCGGAAGCCGGAUGCAGCAACGCCGCGUGCGGGAUGACGGCCUUCAGGUUGGAAACCGCUUUCGCCUGUGACGAAGCGUGAGUGAGGGUAAUGGGUAAAGAAGCACCGGCUAACUACGU